AGUUGUUUUUAUGGCUUUAGGGUAUGGACCCAAUUAAUGAACGGAGAGUAUUUGAAAUGGUUGUGAACACUGCCUGUAAAGAGAACACAUCCCAGUAUUUCUUCAUCACACCGAAGCUUCUACAGAAUCUUCCUUAUUCUGAAAAGAUGACAGUGUUGUUUGUCUACAAUGGUCCUCAUAUGCUGGAGCCAAACCGAUGGAAUUUAAAGGCUUUUCAAAGGCGUCGGCGAAGGAUAACCUUUACUCAACCUCAGUGAAAGGAAAGAACAGGAGGGGCCUUUGGAGGUUUUUUUCCUUUAACUGUUUAUAUGUGUCGCUCGCUCAAGUGAAUAAAAGUUAGCAGAUUUAUUGAAAGAGAAAGAUUGGUUAUUUUUGGAAACCUGCUUUUAAAAACAAAUAGGUUGAUGAAGUAGAGACCACAGUGACUCUGGGACAUUUUCUAGUGAAAACUGAGUCUUCACUUUUGGUGGACAUUGCCUCGUUAGUUCUCUGUGAGCACGGGAUUGUUGUGUGCAGCUUUGUGCUGCCCCUCAGGUGUGGUGGCCCACAUCUAGCCCAGCGUUUAGGAGUAGGAGGCAGGAAGGUUAUCAGUUUUUGAGUGGUUUCAUGUGUCAUAACAGAAAAGGCUAUUUCCUGUUGCAAAUCGAAGGUAUGGCAGCGUGGGAUUUCAGUCAGAGUGUUUACUAACUACAACAGUGCUGAGUGCAGAACAUUGACUGAGAGAAUAAAGGCAACCCAGGAUUAGAAAUCCCACUUUUCUUCCAGUAUUAUAUCUAGUUCUUACAAACUAGUAUGGGAAUGGCUGCUUAAUAGAUAGUGAUUGACAGCAGAUCUGUUCAUUUCUUUGUUUAAAAAAAAUAAAGGUUCCCUUAUUUUCAUAGAAAAUAUGUUAUAGGUAACAUGUUAUAGGUUACUUCAAAGAAUUGGGAAAACAUAUGCAUGAGGCUUCAAAAUGACAGGAGGACUUUGAGAGGUCACAAGGUAAAGAUGAUACAGAAUGUGGCUCAGACACUGGCAGGGUGAGAUCAGGUGACAGGAGUUAGCGUAUAAGUGUUGUCGUAGGGCUUUGUGUGUGUUUGUUUGUUUGUUUGUUUGUUUGUUUAAUUUAAAGUUGAAUGUAUUUUACAUCUUACAUUUCUAGAAAGCAUUUUUAUAAUUACUUUUAGUAAAAUUUUUCUUAAAAUUUCAUAUGCGAGUUUUUACAAUUUGUAUUUGAAAUUUCUCAGUGCUAUAUAAAGAGCGAAGGCAAAGAAUUGAUUGAAAAAAGAAUCAAAUCAUGUUUUUAGAAUUUGUAGGUCCUUCCUUAUACCCAGUAUUUUAGAAAAAUCUCAUAUGAAUUGUUUUCUUCCACCUUGAAAAUAUUAAUUGAAAACCAUUUUUCUCUGAGAAUGCUAAUUAACAAUGCCAAACAAAUUCUGUUCUUUGAAAAAACUAAAUCUUGAAAGAAAAUAGAAAUGUCAUUGAAUAGUGGAAUGAACCAUAUCUUUGAUGAUACUGACAAAAUUAUUUUUUUGCUAGCCUGAACAAAGUUUGGGCUUUGUCUAUUAUCGUAAUAGCCAAUGAAAUUUACAUUCUUAUUUGGUUAAAAAAUAAUGGAACAUGAGUUUAUGUCCUCUCACUUAGACAUUUUCUCUUUUAGAAGUUGUAUUUCUUUUUAAAACUUGUAAAAGAACCCUCCCCUCUUAGACUAAGUAUCAUACAGGUAGUAUAAAGAUAUUUUAAUAACAUUUUUAUCAACAUGAACAAGUCAAAAAAUUAAAAACUUGGUAGCAUAUUAGUGAAGGCUAUUACUAAACAUUUGUGUUGUUGCUUGGGUUUCUGAUAUAAUAUCUUCACUGAUAUGUGUUUGAUGUAGUUUGGUUUUAUAUGAAAGAAAGACAUACUUAAAACUCACAUCAUCAGCAAUUCCAUUUCCGUUUACAUAUACCAAAAAUAAUUACAUAUCAUGCUAACAAGCUUUCAGAGAGCAAAAUUAAUGUUCUGUUUUAUAUUGAACUUUGGGCUGGGAAGGAUAAAUUAUGUAUCAUUCAUCAUAUUAAAAAUAGUCAAACAUAAUAUAAUGUCAUUUUCUGCAACUGUUGAUUUUUUAAAUUACAUUCAAAUUGUAAAAAUUCCAGGUAAAAGCCUGAUGUGAUAAAUAAAAUAUUUAAAACCUGACGGUUAAAAAUAUUUUUAAUAACUAAAUUUUUACAUUGAUUUGCCUAAGGUCAGUCUCUGUUAGGAAGUUUUUCAUGUUCAAAAAAAGAAAAAAAAGGGGGGGUUGUUUUGGUUUUUUUGUAAGAUUUAUUUAUUUUAUGUGAAUAAUUGUUUUGCCUAUAUGUAUGUCUGUAUACCUGGUACUUGCUAAGGCUGGAAGAGAGCAUCAGAUCUCCUAGGAGUGGAGUUAAAGGUAGUUUGAACUGGUAUAUGGGUGCUGGGUAUAGAAAUUGGGUCCUGUGGAAGAGCAUCCAGUAGACUUAACCACUGAGCCAUCUCUCCAGUUCCAAACAGAGAUUUCUUGCUGCUUUCCAAUAGCCUUGGACAUAAGCACGUCAGGGGCAUCACUUCAUUCUGGUUUGUGUAAAUGUAAUUGACUAAAACUAUGUUGUAAAUGCUACUUUGUUGGUAAUAAAUACGUAUUUUUCCAUUGGUAUAGGUUAUUUAAGAUGAGAGUAUUUUAAUACUUUAAAUUUCUUAAAACACAUUUUUAUUUUCAGGAUU
rnacentral:lncRNA from 1 species